rnacentral:lncRNA from 1 species
CAAUGCACAGUGAUUCACUCUAAGGCCAUAAAUCGAAAAAUGUCAUAGGCUUAUCCCCAUUAGAUCUACUUACUAACUGAUUAACAAGUAAAGAAGCUACCAAAAACUCUAAAUACCCGUGUCAUAAGGUCAACUUAUUGACCACUUUUGUGCAUCGGAAGUUAGCGCAUCUCGAGUCUAAUUAUCGCAACGUGUGAGACAUCAAAACUUAACACUUUGUUUUUGAGUGUCACUAUUCCAAAUCAAGUGUUUACGUAUGGUGACAGUAUGGAGGUCCAAGACCAAGGUAAAGCUUUCAAAUGUUCUGUUUCGAGGACGACUAUUUUUGACAUUUGGCACUCUAAAGAGGGUAGUCCAAAUGAAAAAUGCAACAUGUCCUGAAUACUUUGACCGAAACAUCGUGCCUUUCGGAUGACAUCGAAAAUAUCAAACUAGAGACUUUAAGUAAUAAAAUUAUGAAUGUAUGUAAACGAAUUUCUCAUUAUUGGGCAAAAUCAAAUCGUAGUAGGUCUAAAUUUAUAGAGAAAUAUUCAGAUUGGCUGAAUGUAGUUGAAAAUAUUGAUGUAGAGCGAAUUGAGUUACAUGUAUCUCAGAAGUCUGACAAAGUUGAACCAUCAACUUCUUCAUUCAGAUCCCUUCCUAACAGGUUUACGAAAGUUACCUGUCAAAAACAAAAGGUGUGCUAUCAAAAUAUGUUCUAGAUUUGUUAUCUGUUUGUAGUAAAUACUUUUGAGCUUGAAUGUAUUCUGGUAUAUUUUGUGUUUUGUGUGUAUUUGCAAAAAAGGUUGUUCAUGUA